GACGAACGCUGGCGGCGUGCUUAACACAUGCAAGUCGAACGGAAAGGCCCUGCUUUUGUGGGGUGCUCGAGUGGCGAACGGGUGAGUAACACGUGAGUAACCUGCCCUUGACUUUGGGAUAACUUCAGGAAACUGGGGCUAAUACCGGAUAGGAGCUCCUGCUCCAUGGUGGGGGUUGGACAGUUUCGGCGGUUGGGGAUGGACUCGCGGCUUAUCAGCUUGUUGGUGGGGUAGUGGCUUACCAAGGCUUUGACGGGUAGCCGGCCUGAGAGGGUGACCGGCCACAUGGGGACUGAGAUACGGCCCAGACUCCUACGGGAGGCAGCAGUGGGGAAUAUUGCACAAUGGGCGGAAGCCUGAUGCAGCAACGCCGCGUGCGGGAUGACGGCCUUCGGGUUGUAAACCGCUUUCGCCUGUGACGAAGCGUGAGUGACGGUAAUGGGUAAAGAAGCACCGGCUAACUACGUG
rnacentral:rRNA from 1 species